ACAGCUCACACGCUUUUUAGUUGUCGGCUGACGUAGCCUUCCUAGUAUGUUCAUAGUCGUCAUAGCCAACUUUUUGAACAUACUACCGAAGCUUCUAGCGAAAGACAACUUUGUCUCAGGAGAGGGAGGGAAGAAAGAGAAUUCACUGAAACUAUAAUUUAAUUUGUUUUUUUCAUUUGUUUCAAAUCUCCCUCUCCCAAAAUUUCAACAAACAGUUGUCUUAAUUUGCUCUGGUUAUGCAGUUUUUUUGGAAGGUCUUUUGUGGAACAAACAUUCUUUCAGAUUCUGUAUUUAUUUUCAUUUUUGACCGUGUGUAUAUGUAUAUACAGAAGAAGUAGGAAGGGUAAAGUGAAGCAAUUAUUCUUACAGAUUGAUUAUUUGAUUGUGUGUAUGUAUAUAUUGAAGAAGUAAGAAGAUGGGAUUUUCGGAGAACACAAGGGGUUUAGUUCUAGCAAUGGUUUCAAGUUUAUUCAUUGGAACGAGUUUUAUCUUAAAGAAGAAAGGUCUCAAGCGUGCUGCUGCUGCUGGUACUCGAGCAGGAGGUGGAGGCUAUACUUAUUUGCUUGAGCCCCUUUGGUGGGUAGGCAUGAUCACAAUGAUUGUUGGGGAAGUUUCCAAUUUUGUGGCCUAUAUUUAUGCUCCAGCAGUUCUUGUGACCCCCCUUGGUGCGUUGAGUAUAAUUAUCAGUGCUGUCUUGGCACAUUUUAUGUUGAGGGAACGUUUACCACGGUUAGGUGUGGUGGGAUGCAUAUUGUGCAUUGUAGGAUCUGUGGUAAUUGUUAUACAUGCACCUCAGGAACAUAUGCCAACUUCUGUACAAGAAAUCUGGAUUUUGGCAAUUCAACCAGCAGCAUUUGUGAUUUAUGCAGCCGCAACAAUAUCCAUAGUAGUAGCUUUGAUGUUGCAUUUCGAGCCUCGUUAUGGGCAGACGAAUGUGCUGGUAUAUUUGGGAAUAUGUUCUUUAAUGGGUGCACUUACGGUUGUAAGCAUAAAGGCUAUUGGAAUUGCAAUAAAACUUACUCUGGAAGGAAUUAGUCAGAUUGCUUAUCCGCAAACUUGGUUUUUUCUAGCUGUUGCAGUAAUCUGUGUCAUCAUGCAGUUGAAUUAUCUAAACAAGGCACUGGAUACAUUCAAUGCUGCAAUUGUUUCUCCAAUAUAUUAUGUAAUGUUCACCACUUUGACUAUCAUUGCAAGCGCAAUAAUGUUCAAGGACUGGGCUGGACAAGAUGCUAGCAGCAUAGUAUCUGAGCUCUGUGGAUUUAUCACAGUGCUUUCAGGAACAAUUGUACUCCAUGUGACUAGAGAACAAGAACCAGCAAAUCCACCAGGUAAAAAACUGAAGUUGAAGCACGUACCCACUACCCAGCUAUAUAAGUUGUAUGCCUCUCAUCUUGAUGUAUGUAUAUCCUUGGUAUCAUGCAAUCUAAAAUCUUCUAAAAAAGUAUGGCAGUGGAUUUUUCUGUCUGCAACACUUAAAAGCAUAGUGACUUAGGUGUAAUUAUCCUACUUUAGGUCAAUUUGAUUACUUAUUUCUAAAGAAACUUCUAAAUUUGGUUGCUUUGUGCUUUUCUGAUUUCAAUGAAGAUGGUAAGGAAACACAAAUAAAAAUCGAACCUAGUACUCCGCCUGAUUUUACUCGACCUUUGACAAUGAUUAUUCUUUUCCGAUAUGGGGCUAGACCUCAAAGGGAGCACACAUUUUUACCAUGCAGCGUAUGUGAAAUAGUGAGAUUAGCUGCUCCGAUUUUGCUCAAUUGGUGCACAGGUUCAAAUGCUCUUCUAAUUUGAGUACUUGGUGCCGUGGUUAUACAUCUCAAAAGAGCACGUGUUUCCAUCACGUGACACAUAGGCAUCCUUUCAUUGGCAUUGGGACUGAUGACUCCCUUGAGGAAAUGUAUCGUGGUAUGAUGGAGAAGAUAUAAAAGUUAUGGAGGAUGGACAUUACAUAAUGUUGAAUGAUUCAAACUUUUUCCACUGAUUUGAUCUCGUGAAUGUCUAUAGCAAAAGUUGAAGCUGUAUCGGUAGCUGAUGCUUGAUUUGUGUUUUUGUGUAAUGAGAAUUAUUGUUUAAGCUCGGCAAUGUGAGCUUUACAACUGGGAGGUGAGUUCUCCCACGAGCACAAUUUUGGGAAAGGGUUCGAGUUACGGCUUCAAUUUUAGCCUUGACAACAUGUGGAUAUAUUUUGGACAUGGUUUCUUGCAGAGUUGCUAUUCAAAUUGAGGUCUGUGCAUACAUGGCGGUGUCUUUUCGUUCAGUUUGUUGUUUAGAGUAUCUUAGUUGAUUCAUGUUGUAAUUUAUUGAGCCACCGCAUUGGUGUAACAUAGAAUUCAUUGUUUUGUAGUGUAAAGAAGGUUGCAGCAGUAAGUUAGAUUGGCAUUUUUUUUUUUAAGACAGCUCACGAGCAUUUGGUUUGGACAAUGACAGAUUAUGUAAUUUCUGGAGUUUAUGAAUUCGAAAUCGGAUAUUGCGGCGAAGUGAAUCAUUUUGAACUUAACGUUA